AUACUGGGCGUAAGCGCAUGCAGGCGGUUUGUUAAGUCAGAUGUGAAAGCCCGGGGCUCAACCUCGGAACCGCAUUUGAAACUGGCAGGCUAGAGUCUUGUAGAGGGGGGUAGAAUUUCAGGUGUAGCGGUGAAAUGCGUAGAGAUCUGAAGGAAUACCAGUGGCGAAGGCGGCCCCCUGGACAAAGACUGACGCUCAGAUGCGAAAGCGUGGGUAGCAAACAGGAUUAGAUACCCUGGUAGUCCACGCCGUAAACGCUGUCUACUUGGAGGUUGAGGUUUAAGACUUUGGCUUUCGGCGCUAACGCAUUAAGUAGACCGCCUGGGGAGUACGGCCGCAAGGUUAAAACUCAAAUGAAUUGACGGGGGCCCGCACAAGCGGUGGAGCAUGUGGUUUAAUUCGAUGCAACGCGAAGAACCUUACCUACUCUUGACAUCCAGAGAAUCCUCCAGAGAUAGAGGAGUGCCUUCGGGAGCUCUGAGACAGGUGCUGCAUGGCUGUCGUCAGCUCGUGUUGUGAAAUGUUGGGUUAAGUCCCGCAACGAGCGCAACCCUUAUCCUUGUUUGCCAGCACGUAAUGUUGGGAACUCCAGGGAGACUGCCGGUGAUAAACCGGAGGAAGGUGGGGACGACGUCAAGUCAUCAUGGCCCUUACGAGUAGGGCUACACACGUGCUACAAUGGCAGAUACAGAGGGCAGCGAAGCUGCGAAGUGGAGCGAAUCCCUUAAAUUCUGUCGUAGUCCGGAUUGGAGUCUGCAACUCGACUCCAUGAAGUCGUAAUCGCUAGUAAUCGUGGAUCAGAAUGCCACU
rnacentral:rRNA from 1 species